rnacentral:rRNA from 1 species
AGUGAACGCUGGCGGUAGGCCUAACACAUGCAAGUCGAACGGCAGCACAGUAAGAGCUUGCUCUUACGGGUUGCGAGUGGCGGACGGGUGAGGAAUACAUCGUAAUCUACUUUUUCGUGGGGGAUAACGUAGGGAAACUUACGCUAAUACCGCAUACGACCUACGGGUGAAAGCAGGGGAUCUUCGGACCUUGCGCGAUUGAAUGAGCCGAUGUCGGAUUAGCUAGUUGGCGGGGUAAAGGCCCACCAAGUCGACGAUCCGUAGCUGGUCUGAGAGGAUGAUCAGCCACACUGGAACUGAGACACGGUCCAGACUACUACGGGAGGGAGCAGUGGGGAAUAUUGGACAAUGGGCGCAAGCCUGAUCCAGCCAUACCGCGUGGGUGAAGGAGGCCUUCGGGUUGUAAAGACCUUUUGUUGGGAAAGAAAAGCAGCAGGUUAAUACCCCGCUGUUCUGACGGUACCCAAAGAAUAAGCACCGGCUAACUUCGUG